CACCAGCCGGGAGGUGCAUUCCUGAAGAGGGCUCCUUUAGGGGCCGCCCUGUCACGUCCAGCACCAUGCGCCUCUUGCCGGGGUCCCUGAUAAUCCACUCCCCAACUCCAUGCCUUUCCUCUCCUUACAUCUCUCUCCUUUAAAAAAAUGUUUUUUCUUACUUUUCCUCAUCAGUAGUAACUAGGCCUCAGUCACCACCUGGUCAACUUGGUGCAUCUCCACUCUCAAAACUUGGGAAAGUUGGGUAACAAGGCAAAGAUCCCCAAGCAGGAAUUGUGGGAGAAGAUCCGGCGGGAGAUGUGCCAGUCCAUUACAGAUUUGGUUGCAGGACCUGGAGUCCCCUUUCUGUCCUAUCAUUUUAAAUGACAAAGGAGAUAAUCCACUGGAUCCUAUUUCUUGUCAGUAGGCAGGCAGUGUUGCAAAAUGUGCAACUAAGGGACGCAGGAACAGAAAACUUUUCUCACAAUCUUUGCUGGGCCUGUUCUUAUCCCUCUAUUCGUGUCUUUACUACUUUCUAGAAAACCUGUAAUGAUUGUUUUGCCUACUGUAUUAAAUCCAAAUGUAAGUUCAUCUAUGAUUUGACCUAACCCUACCUAUCUUGUCUAAUUUCCUAACAUAGGCAUACCAUGGAGAUAUUGUGGGUUCAGUUCCAGAUUGUGAAAUAAAGCAAAUUGUCAACUGUGCUUUUGGAACAUCCAAGUUUGACCCAGGCCUUUAAGAAUGGACCUUGGGGAAUGUCCCAGAUGGACCCUAUCCCCAGACUGAACAAUAGACCUUAUGUCUAUGUCAUGAUCCCAGUGUGGAUAACAUUAGUAGCCAAUCAAGACUCAGUACAUAUAAAAAGUAGGAUCCAACUGGAAUUAAGAAGGGUUGGAGCAGGCUUUCUGAAGAAGAUGAGAUUUUAGCUGAGACUUGUAAGAAGCCAGAGACAUCAAUAUUCCGAACAGAGGAGGGAAGAACAUUUGAGAGAUUUCCGGGUAAUCAUGGCUGCAAUCUAGACGCCACACGCUUCCUCUCCCUGGCACCGAACGAAAUAGACUACAUCAAAGGAGCAUAAAAAUCACCUUUGGAGGAACAGAAGGACACCCCAGUACUCCCCAGUACCCCACAGAGGCGAAGGUACGUGGGGUUUGAACAUUUCCACACUAUAAUAAGAAGGAGGAAAAGCUUGCACAGAAACAUGAACUGAGCCGCCCUUCCCCACACACACUUCCCCCACCAAACCAGAGUGAGCUACCGGAGUGCUCACUGGGACAGCGAGUGAGUGGCGAACGUCUCUGUCUGGGGGGGCACUCCAGGGUCCUUGGGAUCUGGGGGCUGCCAGGAAACAACAUCUCAGGGCGGUUUCACAGGAGAAUCCUGCACUGAUCACAGGGGGCCCAGGGAGCUGUACUCGGGGUGGUUGCUCUGAGUAUCUGGGCGGAGCUAAACACCAGGGGCGAACCACGUGCUGAUUUUCUGGGCGGAGUUGAACACCUGGGUAGUUUGGCUGUGAUCAGGGCCCCAGCGCUCUAAGAAACCUCGGAGGCUGGGAAGAACUAGUCUGAGGCAACCUAAACUCACAGAAAACCUGCCCAUAUCACCCAGACCCCAGACCAAAAAAGAAAGUGGAAUUAAACCACCAAAGGGAUGGCUCACAUGGCCCAAAAUCAAGCCU
ensembl:lncRNA